AGAGAUGUUUGCGCUCGCCAGUCUGGAAGACAGAACAGAAGGGACUACGAUGAGAGAGAGUAAAUAAAAUUUUAUGCUUAUCAUUGAACAAAUGGACAAAAUUGCAUUUUUAACCCGGCCUCAUAAUAUUGAUGUUCAAUGAUAAGCAAGAAGUUACUGUAGCAUUUGAAAGUUCACUUGAUAGAAGAUUUCCCAAAGUGAACAUAAAUGCCUAAUGGAAAUGACAUCACUUAAAUACUCUAAUUCAUUCCACUGGUUAGAGAAACAUAACAAGUGAAAAACUAAAGAAAGAAGAAACAUUUCCACAAUAGUUACCUAAAGUGCGGUGUGAAAAUUUUCAUUUCAUUUCAUU
rnacentral:misc_RNA from 1 species